rnacentral:rRNA from 1 species
UACGAAGGGGGCGAGCGUUGUUCGGAUUUACUGGGCGUAGAGGGCACGCAGGCGGCUAUCCAAGUCAGGCGUGAAAGCCCCGGGCUUAACCUGGGAACUGCGUCUGGGACUGGGUGGCUAGAGUUCGGGAGAGGAGAGUGGAAUUCCCAGUGUAGAGGUGAAAUUCGUAGAUAUUGGGAAGAACACCGGUGGCGAAGGCGGCUCUCUGGACCGAGACUGACGCUGAGGCGCGAAAGCGUGGGGAGCAAACAGG